rnacentral:rRNA from 1 species
UGUAUCUGAAAUCAAGCAGGAUCACCCGCUGAACUUAAGCAUAUCACUAAGCGGAGGAGAAGAAAUUAACUAAGAUUGCCUCAGUAACGGCGAGUGAAGCGGCAAAAGCCCAAAAUGUAAAUCUAGUACAUUCUGUACUCGAAUUGUAAUCUAGAGAGGGUUCACUCAACGAGCAGUGACGCAGAAGUGACCACGAACGGUCCGCCAGAGAGGGUGAAAGCCCCGUAUGUGGUGUCGCUGCUUAACGAGUGGAUUUUCGAAGAGUCGGGUUGUUUUGUAUUGCAGCCCUAAGUGGGAGAUAAACUUCUUCUAAGGCUAAAUAUAUAUGGGAAACCGAUAGCGAACAAGUACUGUGAAGGAAAGAUGAAAAGAACUUUGAAAAGAGAGUCAAAAGACUUGAAAUCGUUGAGAAGGAAGGAGUAGAAAUUUAUUCUUCUGCGUAGGCCGGUGGUAGUCGCCUAACCAUUGCUGAUUGAGAGAACCGAAAGGGCUCCGGUUGGUACCUGGGGAAGUGGCUGCUUUGGUGUGCGUAGUGAGACAAGAUGGGGUCGUGCGGGCACAAAGGCUUCUUACAACUCGCGUCCUUCGGGGUGCAUUGUAGGUGUGUCGGUGGAAGUACGGCCUGAGAAUGCUUCGGCGAUCUUGGCAAAAUGGUUUUUACUCACCCCGUCUUGAAACACGGACCAAGGAGUCUAACUUAUAUGCGAGUGUGCUAGUGGAAAAACUAACACGCGAAAUGAAGGUGAUUGAUGCCAAGCGCAAGCAGCAGCAUCGACCGACCAUGAUCCUCUGGUGAAAGGUUUGAGUACGAGCAUACAAGUUAGGACCCGAAAGAUGGUGAACUAUGCCUGAGUAGGGUGAAGCCAGGGGAAACUCUGGUGGAGGCUCGUAGCGGUUCUCACGUGCAAAUCGAUCGUCAAACUUGGGUAUAGGGGCGAAAGACUAAUCGAACCAUCUAGUAGCUGGUUCCCUCCGAAGUUUCCCUCAGGAUAGCUGGGACAAAUACGUAGUUUUAUUAGGUAAAGCGAAUGAUUAGAGGCCUCGGGGGUAAAAUGCCCUCGACCUAUUCUCAAACUUUAAAUUGGUAAGAACCCUGGCCUUUCUUAAGUGAGGCAUGGGGGCUCAAUACGUGUCCCAAGUGGGCCAUUUUUGGUAAGCAGAACUGGCGAUGAGGGAUGCUCCUAACGUCAAGUUAAGGUGCCCAACUGCACGCUCAUCAGAAACUACAAAGGGUGUUGGUUCAUCUAGACAGCAGGACGGUGGCCAUGGAAGUCGGAACCCGCUAAGGAGUGUGUAACAACUCACCUGCCGAAUGGACUAGCCCCGAAAAUGGAUGGCGCUCAAGCGUGCGACCGAUACUCGACCAUU